rnacentral:rRNA from 1 species
UAAUCUUGGAUCAGGUAGGGAUACCCACUGAACUUAAGCAUAUCAAUAAGCGGAGGAGAAGAAACCAACUGGGAUUGUCCCAGUAACGGCGAGUGAAGCGGCAACAGCUCAAAUUUGAAAUCCGGCACCCCGGGGCCCAAGUUGUAAUUUGCAGAGUAUGCUCCAGGUGCGGCGCCGGUCUAAGUUCCUUGGAACCGGACGUCACAGAGGGUGAGAAUCCCAUACGUGACCGGCAGCCUGGCCCGGGUGAAGCUCCUUUGAUGAGUUGAGUUGUUUGGGAAUGCAGCUCCAAAUAGGUGGUAAAUUUCAUCUAAAGCUAAAUACCAGCCAGAGACCAAUAGUGCACAAGUAGAGUGAUCAAAAGAUGAAAAGCACUUUGGAAAGAGAGUUAAACCGUACGUGAAAUUGUUGAAAGGGAAGCGCUUGCGGCCACACUUGCCUGCGGGCAAUCAGCCGCCCUUUGGGGUGGUGCACUUGCCCGUGGCCAGGCCAGCAUCGGUUCGGGCGGCCGGACAAAGGCCCCGGGAACGUGGCUCCCCCCGGGGAGUGUUACAGCCUGGGACGUCAUACGGCCCGCCCGGACCGAGGACAGCACUCCAGCAAGGAUGCUGGCAUAAUGGCCAUCAGCGACCCGUCUUGAGACACAGACCAUAGAGUCUAACAUCUAUACGAGUGUUUGGGCAUCAAACCCGGGCGUGGAAUGAAAGUGAACAGAGGUGGGAGCCCCCUGCCCGGUGCACCAUUGACCGAUCCUGAUGCCUUUGGAUGGAUUUGAGUAAGAGCAUAGCAGUUGGGACCUAAAAGAUGAUGAACUAUGCCUGGAUAGAGUGAAGCCAGAGGAAACUCUGGUGGAGGCUUGCAGCGGUUCUGAUGUGCAAAUCAAUUGUCAAAUUUGGGUAUAGGGGCAAAGGAUUAAUUGAACCAUCUAGUAGCUGGUUCCUGCCAAAGUUUCCCUCAGGAUAGCAGUAGCGUGUUCAGUUUUAUAAGGUAAAGCAAAAGAUUAGAGGCCUUGGGGUUGGAACAACCUUAACCUAUUCUCAAACUUUAAAUAUGUAAGAAGUCCUUGUUGCUCCGUUGAACGGGGACUGUCAAAUGCACCGUUACUAGUGGGCCAUUUUUGGUAAGUAGAACUGGCAAUGCGGGAUGAACCAAACGCGAGGUUAAGGUGCUAGAAUGCACGUUUAUUAGAUACUACAAAAGGUGUUAGUUCAUCCAGACAGCCAGAGGGUGGCCAUGGAAGUUGGAACCCGCUAAGGAGUAUGUAAUAACUCACCAGCCGAAUGAACUAGCCCUGAAAAUGGAUGGUGUUCAAGCGUGCUACCCAUACCUUGCCGCUGGGGUAGAAACAAUGCCCUGGCAAGUAGGCAGGCAUGGGGGUUGGUGACAAAGCCUUAGGAGCAAUGCUGGGUUGAAUUGCCCCUAGUGCAGAUCUUGGUGGUAGUAGCAAAUACUCAAAUGAGAACUUUGAGGACUGAAGUGGGGAAAGGUUCCAUGUGAACAGCAGUUGGACAUGGGUUAGUCAGCCCUAAGAGAAAUGGAAGCUCGGUUUGAAAGUGCGUACUCGUGCACCACCCCUUGAAAGGGAAGCCGGUUAACAUUCUGGCACCUGGAUGUGAAUUCUCUAUGGCAACGUAACUGAACAUGGAGAUGCCGGCGGGGGCCCUGGGAAGAAUUCUCUUUUCUUCUUAACGGCCCAUCACCCUGAAAUUGGUUUGUCCAGAGCUAGGGUUUGACAGCCGGCAGAGCCCCAUACCUUUGCGGGGUCCAGUGCGCUCCUGACGGCCCUUGAAAAUCCAUGGGAAGGAUUAGUAUUCAUGUCAGGUCGUACUCAUAACCACAGCAGGUCUCCCAGGUGAAAAGCCUCUAGUUGAUAGAACAAUAUAAGUAAGGGAAGUGGCAAAAUAGAUCCGUAACUUUGGGAAAAGGAUUGGCUCUAAGGGUUGGGUGCGUUGCUGCUUGGGGGGAUGCCCCUAGAGCAGGCGGGCACUAACCCGGCAACCGGCCGCUGCCUGCCAGCAUUGGGGCGCGGACGUCCUCGGCAGGCCUUAGCUGUCCAGUGCACGCUUAACGACCGACUUGGAACUGGUACAGAUAAGGGGAAUCUGACUGUUUAAUUAAAGCAUAGCAUUGUGAUGGCCAGCAAGUGGUGUUGACGCAAUGUGAUUUCUGCCCAGUGCUCUGAAUGUCAAAGUGAAGAAAUUCAAGCAUGGGUAAAUGGCGGGAGUAACUAUGACUCUCUUAAGGUAGCCAAAUACCUUGUCAUCUAAUUAGUGACGCGCAUGAAUGUAUUAAUGAGAUUCCCACUGUCCCUAUCUACUAUCUAGCAAAACUACAGCCAAGGGAAGGGGCUUGGUGGGAUCAGCAGGAAAAGAAGACCCUGUUGAGCUUGACUCUAGUUUGACAUUGUGAAAAGAUAUAGGGGGUGUAGAAUAGGUGGGAGCUCCAGCGCCGGUGAAAUACCACUACCCUUAUUGUUUUUUUACUUAUUCAGUGAAGCGGAACAGGGCAUCACCACCCAACUUCUGGCGUCAAGGUCCCCCACAGGCCAAUCCUGGUUGAAGAUAUUGUCAGGUGGGGAGUUUUGCUGGGGCGGCACAUCUGUUAAACCAUAACGCAGGUGUCUUAAGGGGGACUCAUGGAGGACAGAAAUCUCCAGUGGAACAAAAGGGUAAAAGUCCCCUUGAUUUUGAUUUUCAGUGUGAAUACAAACCAUGAAAGUGUGGCCUAUCAAUUGUUUAGUCCCUCGGAAUUUGAGGCUAGAGGUGCCAGAAAAGUUACCUCCUUUGAUGUCGGCUCAUCCUAUUAUACCGAAGCAGAAUUUGGUAAGUGUUGGAUUGUUCCCCCACUAAUAAAGAAUGUGAGCUGGGUUUAGACCAUUGUGAGACAGGUUAGUUUUACCCUACUGAUGACCGUUGCCGUCACGGUAAUUCAACAUAGUACGUGAGGAACUGUUGAUUCAGAUAAUUGGUUUUUGCGGCUGUCCGACCGGGCAGUGCCGCAAAGCUACCAUCUGCUGGAUAAUGGCUGAACGCCUCUAAGUCAGAAUCCAUGCCAGGAUGUGGCGAUUCCCCCUCGCACAUCAUACUCAGAUACGAGUAGGCCUCCAGGCCCUGGACCUUAGUGGGCCGGCAGCGGCGCCUGGGUAGAAGUCCCGGGUGCAAGCUGGCAGAUUGCAAUUUCACUAUACAUGGGGAUAAAUCCUUUGCACAUAGUUUAACAGACCGGCCGGGUCCUGUAAGCAGUAGAGUAGCCUUGUUGUUACAAUCCACUGAGGGUAAUCCUGAUGCCGGCUAGAUUUGU